CAGCGACAGAGCGUUGCGAUCUUGCAGACUACCGCGUGCGUGCGGAGAAGCAUCAAAGACUCCACACUUUACGCGAAACCCCUCGUAGUUCUUCAUCCUCCCAAGCUUCCCCACACCCCGCUUCCUUCCCCUCUCUGUCCCAAUCUCGCGCGACGCCACGAAACCCUAGCCCCCAAAUCGCUCGCCGGGGAGAGGGAGGGAGGGAGGCCGGAGACGGACGCCGCUCGCCGGCGCCGAUGGAGGUGAAGCUGUGGAACGACAAGCGCGAGCGGGAGCUCCUGGAGAGCCUGGCCGACCUGUACGCGAUCAUCAAGGCCACGGAGAAGCUGGAGCGCGCCUACGUCCGCGACCUCGUCUCCGCCGCCGACUACGAGGCCGACUGCCUCAAGCUCAUCUCCCAGUUCAACUCCCUCUCCUCCUCCCUCGCCGGGGUCGUCACCAUCCCGCGCUUCGUGCAGGCCUACCGCCUCGACUGCCCCGCCGCCCUCAACCGCCUCGUCCAGUCCGGCGUCCCCGCCACCAUCGAGCUCCGCGCCGCCACCUCCUCCUCCUCCGCGCCGCCCGCCACCGCGGCCUCCGCCUCCGCCAUCGCCCAGUGCGUCCAGAGCUUCAUCACCGCCAUGGACGCCGUCAAGCUCAACAUGCUCGCCAACGACCAGGUCCGCCCCCUGCUCCACGACCUCUCCACCUCCAUGGGGAAGCUCGGUACCGUCCUGCCGCCCGACUUCGAGGGGAAGGUCAAGGUGAACGAGUGGCUCGCAAAGCUGCAUAAGAUGGGGGCCGGGGACGAGCUCACAGAUCAGCAGGCCAGACAGCUCAAUUUUGAUCUGGAAUCAGCGUAUAGUGCGUUUAUGGCCUCGCUUCCCACUGCUGGCCUGUGAACAAUGAUCGGCUUGAUUCAGAGUUGGUUCUUCUUUUCUGUUUUGUCAUGCUCUUGUCUUGCAAUGGUAUACAUAUGUGUAAUUUGGCUCAAGCUAUAUCGUUUGUCGACAACAAUGCCAAUCUUAUGGAAAGUUGCCCCCUACAGAUCUAUUGUUUCAUACAUGAUUAUAGGGACCCUUGAUUGUAUUCAGCGUACAGUGUGUUUUAUGGCCUCGCUUCCACUGCUGUUUGUGAUCAAAGGAUUGGUUUUGUUCUGAGCUGUUCCUAUGUUUCUACUUUGUUACGAUGUUGUCUUUUGACCACUACCGUGGGUGCUAUAUAUGUGUAAUUUGGAUUGUGUUCUAUUCUUUGUCAAUAACAGAGCAAAUUUUAUGAAAAAUCCUCAGAUGGAUUCAUAAUUAUUAUAUGUGGUGUGAUGUUUCUCCGUGAUGUCCAU
rnacentral:rRNA from 1 species